rnacentral:rRNA from 1 species
GUGUGGAAUAUUGGACAAUGGGGGGAACCCUGAUCCAGCCAUGCCGCGUGUGUGAAGAAGGCCUUUUGGUUGUAAAGCACUUUAAGCGAGGAGGAGGCUACCGAGAUUAAUACUCUUGGAUAGUGGACGUUACUCGCAGAAUAAGCACCGGCUAACUCUGUGCCAGCAGCCGCGGUAAUACAGAGGGUGCAAGCGUUAAUCGGAUUUACUGGGCGUAAAGCGCGCGUAGGUGGCCAAUUAAGUCAAAUGUGAAAUCCCCGAGCUUAACUUGGGAAUUGCAUUCGAUACUGGUUGGCUAGAGUAUGGGAGAGGAUGGUAGAAUUCCAGGUGUAGCGGUGAAAUGCGUAGAGAUCUGGAGGAAUACCGAUGGCGAAGGCAGCCAUCUGGCCUAAUACUGACACUGAGGUGCGAAAGCAUGGGGAGCAAACAGGAUUAGAAACCCGGGUAGUCC